GUCAAUUUACUUACUUACUUUGUUUAGUCUUUUGUAUUUUUCGUCUUAUGGAGCUAACUCUGAGCAAACUUGAAAUAUUUAUUUCCACUUAACUUUUCUCCACUAUUAAAGCAACGCCUGAUCAUUAAAUAAAUGCAAAAGAAUAGAAAGAAGAUAAGAAGUUACUGAUGAUCCCCACCACCUAUGCACAAGCACUGUUUAUAUUUUCCUUGGUUUUGAAACACAUUUAGAAACUCUUGGCACAUUAUCCUCUUAGGUUUCAAAUAGCGGUAGAUGAGAACAUUCCUCAGUCUGUUCUGAAAACUCGACAUUCUUAAACGGUUAUUUAAGCCCAAAACAUGUCAGUUGAGUUAAACUUUGACCAGCCCAGGUGACUAGUUUAUAGGUCUUGAAACUUUGUGUCAGCAAAGACCACACAGCCCAAAUUCCUGGAGCAUGUCUUGUGUUUGUAUUCAAACAGAACCCUGAAAUGUUUUCUCUCCCUAAGUAUUUCAGACACAUUCUUCUCAUUGGAAACCUUCGCGUCUUACACAACUCCCUCUGUAUCUAAACUAUGUUAAAGAUACAUAGACAAAGGAUGACAUCACGGAGCUGAUUUUGUCCUUUGAGCUCGGUGUUUAGCUAAAGUUGAGCAGUUACAAUGAGUCAUGCAAUCUUGUGACCAGCCGGGCACUUUUCCAAUGAGAGAGACUGUUAAGAUCUUCGACAACAGACCUGUAGUUGUUUGAAAAAGAGUUGUCAACAGCGACCUGGACGCUGGGCGAUACCCGGCUUCUAUGAGUAACAAAAUGAGGGCCCAUUCCUGCUGAAUAACAAAACACCGAUGGUGAGGUAACACUUAGUAGAGCUGACUCAUUUCCUCACUUACAGAUGAAAGGAAUUGUCCAAGAAAUGACUGUCUCACAGGUAAGUAGUGUUUCCUUCAGGUAACCGGCGGGGAAUCUCUGGAGAAAGGCUGACUACAGCAUUCACUUGUCAGGUACCAGGUCUACCAAGAAGUACAUUUGAUUACAAAACAAUGCCAGACAUUAAAAGCCAUUUUUAUCCUUAACUAGCUGAGAACUGCUCAUUUCAAGUGCGAUUCAGAAGAAAGAGGUCGUCUUGCAUAAUCAGGUGUAAAGGUGAUUGAAAAUUUCUGAUUAGUUGCACCGUGGAAUCAACGUAAACUUUCCUUUUAAUUUUCCAGUGGGCACAUUUUCCUGGAGAGGCUGUGGCUCUUGCCUCGACAUCUGUGUAGGACAUCCGUGGGGGCCAUGCUGGGUACCCUUUCCAUAUCUAUGGAUGGCCCAAUUUUCCAGGGCUGUGGGAUUUCCAGCUGUGUCAUGUUGACUUGAACUGACUCAGCAGGCGCUGCCAUCAUGGGAAACCAAGAAACCUCUGCCUCCCGGACUCCUUGUAAUCUCCUGGGCUUUACAAUCAGGCUGUCUUUACAAACACAUUCCUCAAAGCUAGUUUGGAGCAUACUUAUUUUUAAAAAUACAAGAAGCCUGUUGAGAGAAAAACAUUAGAUGGACACAUAGUUGUGAACAUCACCCAAAGUCAUGACUCUUGUCUUCUUAAACUAGAUCUUACUAGGACUUUAAAAAAAAAAAUGGAUAUGGGCUCCUCUAAACAGGAUUUCACUAUUUUCAUUCAUUUGUAAUGUGCGCACUGCCCUCGGUUGCUUCUUUCCCUACUUGGUGUGCCUCCUUCUGAAUUCUCAUGUAAUUUCAGGAGUUGUUACCAUUCUUUUUGCUGUUGGGAAAUCGCGAAUUGUGAAACACGUUAAACUGAGCACAUUUAAAAAUAACCUAGUCUUUUCUACUGUUUGGGUAAAGUCACUUGCUUGUUUGGGGUUGCUAAUGGAAAUAAGUGGCCAUGUGUGAUUACCUCUAGAGCCAGCUUGUUUGCUCACAGGAAAGAAUUCAUUGAACAGCCACAGACUACAUUCCAGAACAUUAGCCAACCACUUUGCAAAAGUGUACUGUUGGGUCAUAGAGAAGUCUGCCACCACUCCUGGAAAAGCAGCUCCAAAUUCCUGCCCGUGGGACAGAGAUCUUGUUGCAGGAUGUCAAUGUGGGCUCUCAUAACAAGCAUUUUUAUUAGUGGUUCUUCCCUCCUCUUGGUUCCCUGAUAAACGGCCAUGCGAUGCUCAGUGUCUGGAAAUCCAUGGGACUCUACUUUUUUUCAGAAGACACUUUCUAUGCUUUGCAAUUCAUUACCCCAGUGAACUUCAGUGUAAAGACAGUGGUGCAGCAAUGGCGGGGGAGUCAUUUCAGAUACUUCAGGGCCCGGAAUAGAUUUGUCAGUGUGCUUGUUUCCUUCCUCGCUAACAAAUCGCCAUGCUCUAGUCUGUAUUUGGAAUCUGCGGAUCUGCAGAGGCAGCUCAUUGGUCUCCAGGGAGGAUGCUCAUUAGCGUUGCAGGUGGUCGCUGCAGGUCCGAGUUUCCCAGCCCCUGGUUGAUCUAUUUCAUAAAUUGGAGAACUCCGCUUUGAUCUACUUUCACGUAAGAGUUCAUUUGAACACAAAGAGAUAAAUAAAUGCAUUUGAAAGUUAUUUGGAAGGAAAUGUUGAAGCAGAGCCCAGAAAAAGGCUGGUACAGCCUCCCCUGGCCUCUCAGAGAUGAAGUCAGGGCAUCAGGGCUCAAGGAAUGUGCAAGAGCCACAGGUAAGGGCUUCCCUCCUCUGGGCUCUUAGAGUCUUCUCUGUAAGGCAGCAUGGACUGGAUCAGAUCAUGAGCAUUGUCCUGGUGCCUGGUGAACCGAGGUGGAGUCCAGACUCAUCCCCAGCCCUCUUCCCCGACCCCUCGCUCCUGUCCCUCUGCGUGCUCUACGGCCUUGGCAAGUUGCUGGAAAUCUCUAGGAAUCAGAUUCUCUGGAACAAUAAUACCAUUACUCCUUUAUCACAGUGUCAUUUGAGUUUCAGGGAGAUAAUGCUGAUGAGGGUUUAGCACACUGCCUGGGAAGUAUUAUUUUAAAAACAAAACGAACAAAACACCCACUUUAUAAGAAUAACUCCCGAAUAAAUAUCCCUGGGCAGGAUCUCUCUCAAAUUUUGGACUCAUAUUUCUGACCAGCUGGAAGAAUUUUCUAUUUUGAUAUCUUAUUGAUGGCUACACUCUGUGUGUCCAAACGAGACUCAGUUAUUUUAGUACAUCUACAGGGAGUAAACCAGGCACCAGGCACAGCCCUGGCCCUCGAGGACAGGAUGGUGAAUAACGCAGUCUUUGCUCAUCAUCGUUGUCACCAUAGCUGCCAUUUACCGUGUGCCAACAACGUGCUAUGCAAUUUAUACACGUCCUGUUCUUCAGUCCCUGUGGCAACCCUGUGACUUAGACAGACUUUGUUCUUUAACAGAUGAGAAACAAGUGACCUAGUGACCUUAGGUGAUUUGACCAGAUUCACACAGCUAGAAACUAAGUCAGAAUCCAGUCUCACGGGUCUCGGUGUCUUAGACCGUUCAGGCUGCUAUAACACAACACCGCGGAUUGGGAGGCUUGCAAACAACAGACAUUGAUUCCUCACAGCUCUGGAGGCUGGAAGUCCAGGAUCAAGGUACCAGCAGAUUCAGCGUCUGAGUUUCCCUGUCUCCCUCAACACAAACAAUCUCAACAUGAUCUGACAAAGUCCACCAGGAGGCCAGCACAGUUUCCUGAUGAGGGAAUGAAGGCUGCAGGUAAGCUGUCAUGUGCCAAAGAUACUUCUUCCUUCAGUCAGUGGGGACCUCUUUCUCCCAAGCCGUCAAGCCUGCGAUUUCAAGAGCUGUUUCCAUUCCUUUCCGGACCCUACCACUUUCCCCUUUCAAAUGGCUAAGGAGAGUUUUCCCUUUUGCCUUCUCAAUGACUCUCAGUCCAUCUGUUGGUUCCAUCCUCCACCAUCCUAUUUUGGUCCUCCCUAUGUCAGGCUCAUCUGCGCUUCCAACUUAUCCCUCCUGGAGCCACAGUCCCCUCUCUAGUUCUCAAGAAUGCUUCACGUGAUGGUCACAUGGGUCUUAAAAUGCUCCUUUUCAAUAACCAUUCAGAUGUUACUUUUCUAACAAAAAUCUCUCCCAUUUCUCUCAGGCUAUUCAAAUCCUACUGACUCUUUCUAUUUUUUCUAUUUCUACUAUUUUAUUCAAUAAAUAUCUGAGUGCUGGUGUUUCAUUGCUGACCACGAUGGGCGUAGAACUGCCUGAUUAUAUCCAUUUGAACUCAACACACAAAGCCAUUUUAAAUAGAAGGGCAAACGAUGCUCUUCCAGGAUGACAAGAGUGGGAAGGUACAUAGGAACGCUCGAGUUCCGGCCCCGCACAUCCCCUCUUCCUUCCAAGCAGGGUGAGGGAGCAGCUAUGUGCAGGCGCUAUAUAUUCCCGGCCUGGGUUACAACGUGAGCAAACACAUCGAAAUCCCUGCUCUUAUGAGCUUGUAUUUCAGUGGAGAGCUGAGGGGAGCGUCACUUUUAUCUUUAAGGUGCAUGCCAGCUUCUGCAGGAGAUCUCUUAUGGAGAGCAAUUGGAAAAUCAAGAGCAGCACCAAAAAGUCAUUUCCAGUAGCUCUUGACUAACAAAAUGGUCUUUGGAAAUCGCGUGAGGACGUGGUGAGAAGGAGGCUAUCUGCAAGCCAGCAAGAGUUCUUACAAGAACUGCACCAUGCUGCUGCCCUCAUCUUGGACUUCAGCCUCCAAAUGGCCUGACAAAGAAAUAUUGAGAUGAUUCUGCACAAAAUUCUGGCUAUUUGGAGAUACAAGAGUGUUUAUUUUCUUCUGGAAGGUUCCAGAUAGUUACCUCAGUUCUGCCCUUCAAUUUGCAUAUAAACAUAAAAUGGAGCACUGGACCCCAUAUUCCACAAAAAGGCUCAAUUUAAUUUUCUUUGAAUGAAGGGUGUUUUAUCAAUAAAAUUAAAAUCCCAUUAAAUUCUCUGAUACUUGACCAGG